AAAACAAUAUUGGGCCAUUGUAGAUUGAGGUGAAGUUACUUUCAUCUCUCCUGCAUGGUCUAGACAGUG
rnacentral:snoRNA from 1 species